GGUCUUUUAGAAGAUAAUGACUCCUCGGGAGCACGAGGAGCGAUAGUUGGAGUGAUAUUUGUCUGUACAGCUACAUCAAGUAAAUCGACAUAAUGGUUAUAUAAUUUUUUGAUGUAAACGUUCUCAUCACUCAUAGUCGUAAACAAAUCUGGUUGUUCUUGUUCUUCAUCUUCAGAAUCAUGUAGCAUACAUUCAGUCGAACCAACAAAUGAACCACAAAAUUAGUUAAAAGUCAAUGUAAUAGGAACUUUACUAGCAAGACAAGUUUUUAAAUAAUUAUACGUAGCAUUCCAUCUAGUAUCACAUUCUUCAAGCAUAAAUAUCAGCGUAAGUCCAUUUUGUUCACAUUUAACUUUAAAUUCUCACUCUUUUUUUCGAUUAUUUCUUUUAAUAAAGACAACAGCAAGCCAGAUCUUCUCAAUAUAAAACUCAAAAAAUUCAAGACCAUCUCUUACAAUUAAAUUAUAUAUAUGACAAACACAUCUAACAUGAAAUAUUUCAGGUAACGAUAGAGAGAGAUCAUUUUUUAACUUUUCAAUAGCUGUGUUGUUGUUAGAAGCAUUAUCAAAAGCAAUAAAUAUAACUUUUCUUUCAAUACCAUAAAAUUCUGCAACUUUACUAAUAGAUUCAACAAUAAAUUCUCCAGUAUAUCUACGAUCUUCAUCAUACAAAAAAACUAAAAUACAUUUUUGCAUAACAAAAUUAUUAUCUAUCCAGUGACAAGUAUUGGUUAAAUAAUCAUUUGUAACAACAGAACGAUCAAGAUCAGUAGUUAGAGUCAUUCUACAUUGAAUAUUUUUUAACAAUGUAGAAAAAUAAUAAACAUAUUGUGAAUGAAGUCUAAAAAUAUCAACACGACAAGUACUUCUAGGAAUAUCAUUAAACAUAGGAUUAUAAAUUGCUUGAAUAUAAUGAAUAAAAGCAUUCAAAGAAGGAAAAGUGAAAGACAAACAACCCACAACCACCAUUUUUGCUAUUUCUUCUUGGUCCCUUAAUUUAUUAUAAUUCUUAAUUACCUGACCGAUUGUUGGGUCCAUUCUAGUUUGUUUUGGCCCACCAAUAGCCUCACCAUUUUUUGAAAUAAAUAACUCUCUUUAGUGAUUCUCUCUUAUAUGUCUAAUUAACGUACCCGUACCCCUUUGAUUUCCUCAUCUUUUAUGCUCAUAUACUUGUUGACAAAUAUUGUAUUGCACCUUAGUUUUUCUUCUAUAUGUGUAAAAAAUUUCAAUGCAAUACUAGUUUUUCUACGACUUUUAGGGACAACGGGAGGAUGGGGAAGAAGAUUAACCGAUUUAAAUCUAAUAUUAGCAUUUCCUACUGUGGGUGUCUCACCAAUAUUUUCAUCAUCUUCAUCUAAAUUAACCACAUCAACUUCAUUUUCUUAUUCUAUACCAUAAUUUUCUCGAGCUUCUGCAUAAUCCAUAUUGUGAUCACCUACACCUACUUCUUCUUCAAAAGGUUGACUAAGCGGUACCUGAGACACACAUGUAUAUCUACUACUUGAACUAUCUCUACCACCACUAAUUCGCUUUUUACUACCACUACCACUUCCGGAACAAAAACUUUUGACACUUUUACCGAGGUUUCUUAAUUUAUCCAUAAUAUAAAUCAAACUAAAAAAAAUCAAAGUACAAAAAAAUAAUAAAAUUAAAUAUUCAACAAUUAAUACACUAGUUAAAAUUAAAAGUAAGAGAUAGAACGAAAAUACCAAAUUUUGAAAGUAUCCGAAAGUUACGACUUUAAAAUACUUUCACUCGUAUUUGUAAUUGCAAAAUAAAAAAUAAAAUUGAGCACUUUAGGAGAUAUAUAGAAUAUUUGAGAGAAUGAAAACUGUGUGAAAAAUGAUUUGAAAGUGUAGGGUAUUUAUAGAAAAUUUUUUGGAUUUUAAAAAAUAUUUUAAAUUAUUUUUUUAAAAUGGGCCAAAGAGCCGUUUGAGGCUCCAAAUGACUAUAUAGCCGUUGGGUCCAAUGGCUACUUUUGGCCUAAAUGGAUAUGUCCAAGUUUUUUAUUUUUAAAAAAAUCGGGUCGGUUCGGGUCGGGCAACCGGUGAGCUUAGUCCUGGUUGAGUCUGGACUGGGUCAACCGAACCCAAAAAAAUGGUCCAGCCAAGGACCAAAACCCUGUAGCCCGGGGGCUGAUCGGGCUGGGUCAAACCGGGUCGAUCUUGUUAAAUGGGUCGGGUUUAGGAGGCGGGGUAAAACCGGCCCAUUUGACAGCCUUAUUGUGCAGUGAACUUUGUCUUGAUUUGACAUUCUUGGUUUUCCAUUGGCUUCUUGUAGUUUAAACAUUGACAGCCUGAGAACCUAAAAUUUGAACAGAUUGGACGACGACAUGCGUCUUAACUUAACGCGUCAACUGACUGAAGUUAUACUUUAAUUUACUAGAGAUGAAAUAGUUUCCCCUAUGUUAAGCAUUUGGUAAAAGAGCGUAUGGAUAACUGUAUGACUUACAAUCGUAAUUGGCCCAUCUAAUCCGCUAUUCAUCCAGAUCAUAAAAAACGAUCUUGUCUUUUAGAGCAAUAUCUGCAUGGAAAAUAUGAACAAAUAGAAUUAACAUAAAAGAAGCAAAACGAGCAGACAGUUAAAACAAGACCCUAUGUUUAUGCACAGAUUCUUCUGAUUCUAAGGUUUUUGUUGUGAUAAGACUUUUAAAAGUAAAGGAUAUAUACGAAUCUCAAUAGCCGAUUUAGCUCAGUAACUCAGCGAGCAGACAUAGAGGUGCAGGGAAACAAAAAAAAGGGAGUUAAAAAAUGAGGACAGGGAAAAGUGCACUCAUUUAACUUGAAAAAGAUUACCUCCGAGAACUUCAAUCCUUGGCUCAGAGAUUUAUGAAAGCCCAUGCACCAGAGAGCGGAACCACCCUACAAAACAAAACUGUACUGAGUGCGAUAAAUUACUUUCAUAACUAAAUUGCGUGCACUAAAAAAUUUAAAUAGGGAGAACACAUUUGGGGUCACUCCUUGGGUGGAAAGCCAUGCAAUAACCGAAAAGCC
rnacentral:lncRNA from 1 species